rnacentral:rRNA from 1 species
AUGAACGCUGGCGGCGUGCCUAAUACAUGCAAGUCGAGCGAACAGACGAGGAGCUUGCUCCUCUGACGUUAGCGGCGGACGGGUGAGUAACACAUGGAUAACCUACCUAUAAGACUGGGAUAACUUCGGGAAACCGGAGCUAAUACCGGAUAAUAUAUUGAACCGCAUGGUUCAAUAGUGAAAGACGGUUUUGCUGUCACUUAUAGAUGGAUCCGCGCCGCAUUAGCUAGUUGGUAAGGUAACGGCUUACCAAGGCAACGAUGCGUAGCCGACCGGAGAGGGUGAUCGGCCACACUGGAAGUGAGACACGGUCCCGACUCCGACGGUAGGCAGCAGUAGGGAAUCUUCCGCAAUGGGCGAAAGCUUGACGGAGCAACGACGCGUGAGUGAUGAAGGGCUUCGGAUCGGAAAACUCUGUUAAUAGGGAAGAACAAAUGUGUAAGUACAUAUGCACGUCUUGACGGUACCUAAUCAGAAAGCCACGGCUAACUACGUG